AUUGAACGCUGGCGGCAGGCCUAACACAUGCAAGUCGAACGAGUGGCGGACGGGUGAGUAAUACCUAGGAAUCUGCCUGGUAGUGGGGGAUAACGUUCGGAAACGGACGCUAAUACCGCAUACCAUCAGAUGUGCCCAGAUGGGAUUAGCUUGUUGGUGGGGUAACGGCUCACCAAGGCGACGAUCCCUAGCUGGUCUGAGAGGAGGACCAGCCACACUGGAACUGAGACACGGUCCAGACGCCUACGGGAGGCAGCAGUGGGGAAUAUUGCACAAUGGGCGCAAGCCUGAUACAGCCAUGCCGCGUGUAUGAAGAAGGCCUUCGGGUUGUAAAGUACUUUCAGCGGGGAGGCGUUACCCGCAGAAGAAGCACCGGCUAACUCCGUGCCAGCAGCCGCGGUAAUUC
rnacentral:rRNA from 1 species